rnacentral:lncRNA from 1 species
UUUUAGCAGUCAAGGUUUGGUGAUGUAAGUAACACAGAUUUACAUUAAUCCUAUCACAAUCAUGUGUUCUUUGAGAUGUUAAUGUAUGAAAAAUGAAACGUCUAUCUCAUAUCAAUUAGUUGUCCAUAAAACUUAACACAAUAGUCAUGUCGUUAUAUAUUGCAAUAUGUUUUGUUGGAGUUUACUUAAGUUCUUGUAUUAUCUUAAAGUACAGCGCAAAUUAUCCGGUGAUACUUAUGUAUUAAUUAGUAGUUUGGUGUGUGUAAAACACAUAUUUAGAUAAACGUAAACACAUAACUUAAAGUACAAAUAAAACAUAACCAAAAGCAAUUUGACAUGCUUAUAGAUUUUUUGUGGUCGUAUCAAACAUUACAGAGAAAAUGAUAUUGUUCGCCAGAUAAUUGAUAUAACAGACUAUAGUGUAUAAAAGUAAUGAGGGAACAUACAGUUAUUCUUAUAUAAAAAAAAAAUGUCAAAGUAAAAAUUUGAUUGUUCCACUUGUAUACAUUUGUUGUUAUUUACAAAGAAAAUGAAACACUGUUUUAUCUGGCGUGCAUGAAUAUGCAGUCAAAUGUUUUGUUAAAUUUUACUACAAUUGUAGAUGACUGUUUAAAAAAAUCAUUGUUUUAUUUUGAUAUUACAAAAAUCAGACGAAAGGCUGCAUGCAUGCAACAGAAGGUUCAUCAAUAACAUACAGUUUUAAUUUAAAACCGUGUUUCUUUUAUGUUGUGUCAAACCGUAUAGAAUUUGUUAAUGUAUAUUUGUUUUUGUAAUGAAAAAAAGAUAUUUGAUCGAUCAUGUAGAGCAUAAGAGACACAAUUCUUCACAAUAGUAGCGAGAAAUUUGUUUGAUUAUUUUUAUUCGUAUUAGCUAUUUUAUUGCCCUUUGAUAUACAUCUAUAUCUUUUCUUUAAAGUAAUGCAAAUCGACAACAAUAUUUGUAUAGUAUAAUUCUAACCAUUUUUACGGAUGUUUUAUUUAUCUUUUUAAGUGGGUGCACUAACAGUAAUUGUGGUUUGUAAGUAUUUGCUCAUUUAAAAUGUUUUUUUUUAAGCGAGUCCUUAUUCAUUUCACUGCAAGCCAGUGACCGUCUGAAAUUGGUACUAUUUUAAAAUGACCAUUCUAUGUAAUUCUAUUAUUUUCGUAUGUUCAUCGGAUAGUUUAGAUAAUUCUGCUUAUAUAUACUCUAUGCGAGCGACCGACUUGUGAUCUAUUUUGAUCUGGAGAAUACUAAACAUUAUGAAAUAGUACUUCAACAUACUGAUACAAUUUAGACUUAUGGUCAUCCAAUGCUUUGACCAAGUAUGCCCAUCUUUUUAUUUCUGAAUCAUAACCAACAAUCACAAAAAAAAGUACAAACUGAUUCUAUUUUAUCAAUUAUGAAUUCUAAUGCAACAACGUUUUUAACGUUCAUUUUGAUUGGAUUUUAUAAAUUAUGAAUUUGCAUCUUACUACAGCUAUACAGUAGUUCAAAUUGUUAUGUUUUGACUUUGUAUUGCAAUUUCUAUUGUAUGUUUAAGAGAAACACUCAUAUAUUUGAACUAAUUGUCGAUAUCAAGGUUUCAAAGGUAUAAAAAUAAUUUUUCAUGUGAACAAAAGGUCAAUAAUGUAAUGGUUUCUAUAUAUAAAAAAAAUGCAAUUUGCUACAACUAAGGAUAUUGAAAGUAACAUAGUACAUGUAUAGUUCUAUUGAUUAUAUAAGAUGGCAUUCAUUGGUUCAAAUAAGUGUUGAGGUAAGGUACAUACUUGAUCAAAGUAUGGUUCGGACUCGAUCCGCGUUUGAUUCUGACUUGACAUGUUAAACUUGAGUGUUAGUCACAUGAUAUAAAAUAUAUAAGAACUUGUCAAGUAAAAAUCAGAUAUAAAUUCAGACUGUUAAAUAUGAACUAUUUGUACGUCGAGUAAAAUUAAGUUAAUUAACGACCCUUUAAAAAUGCAUGCAUGCUAAUGUAAGACUGUUCCUUACGUCGUAAAUACAAUCAGCUUUCCGUUCAUGAAUGUCACCUACUGAAUAAUAGAAUUGAAAAUGCAUUUUACUUCUGUUUAGGUUUGAAUUAGAUGUCUCUAUAUCUUUUGAAAAUGAGUUUCAUCAGUGUGAAAGUAUAAAAGAUCUUUUGAGGCCUAGUAAGGCAUGAUGUAUCUAGCAAUAUCACGUUAAUAAUACCGUAUAAAGUGUGGUAACACAAAGUUAUCACGUUUCAAUUCAAAGCAGACGUGUAGACAAUCAUUUAAUAAUUUGCGGUUAUUGUUAAUUUUGAGACUGUGGACUUUACACAUGAACAAUCUAGCCAAACAUUUAACACAAUCAUUGAUCAGUCAAUCGUUAUGUGAUACAAUUUAUGAUUACUUUUUUGAAAUAUGCUUAGCCUAUUGAUUGAUAUAUUUAACAAUUGUAAUAACUUGGUAUGUACAUUGUAUGUAUGUUUUUGUUUUAAUGUGUUAUCAUAUGUUAUUCUAGCAACAAUAGGUCAUUUUGGCAUAGGUUUAUUGGAGAAGCAUAGAACAGCUGACAACCCGAGGACUAUAAGAUAUCAUAGUCAUGUGUAUACAGAGUACGUUUUAAUGCAAACAACAAUAACCGUCAUCAUAUGAUCCAUCUGUCAUUUAAGUGACAGUAUUAAACAUUUGUUUUUCUGUUAAUUUUACCGAAAGAAAGGUAGAUUCGUAUUGACCACUAACACCUUUUUCUGACACAUUAUCAUUUAGGUUAUAUAGCACACAACUUUAUUCGUUUAAAAAACAUUCAUAUACAUUUGAUGUAUUUAUAAUUAUAUCUUUAUAUAAUAACAC